rnacentral:misc_RNA from 1 species
GAUGAAGAACGUAGCGAAAUGCGAUACGUAAUGUGAAUUGCAGAAUUCAGUGAAUCAUCGAAUCUUUGAACGCAUAUUGCGCUCUCUGGUAUUCCGGAGAGCAUGCUUGUUUGAGUAUCAGUAAACACCUCAACUUCCAUAUCUUUUUUGAAAUGGGAGUUGGACUUGAGUGAUCCCAACGCUUUUCCUCACCGAAAAGUGGCGGGUUACUUGAAAUGCAGGUGCAGCUGGACUUUUCUCUGAGCUAUAAGCAUAUCUAUUUAGUCUGCCUAAAAAACAGAUUAUUACCUUUGCUGCAGCUAACAUAAAGGAGAUUAGUUCUUGUGCUGACUGAUGCAGGAUUCACAAAGACAGGCUUCGGCCGACUUUGUAAACUCGAUCUCAAAUCAAGUAAGACUACCCGCUGAACUUAAGCGUAUCAAUAAGCGGAGGA